rnacentral:tRNA from 1 species
GCGUAGCUCAGGGGUAGAGCAUCGGUCUGUGGAUCCGAGGGUCGUGGGUUCAAAUCCCAUCG